GCCGUCGGUUCAGUGAGCGAGUGACGAACAAAUUUAAAAAGAAAUGGACUGACUUACACUUUUAUAAGAUUCAAGAUCAAAGUUUAUUUCUUGUAACGUAUACACGAAGUAUCUUGUCACAGACAUAUGUAUUAACAAAUAUAACGUGACAUAUUCAAAUAACGCGCACACGCAUGCACGUACGCGCGUGCAUGCACACACAUACACACACACAAACACGCACACAGUUACACACGCACACAAAAUAAUAAAAAUGACAUAUAAAUAGAAAAGCAAAGCAUGUUCGUUAAUAUUUUAACUAGAUAGGAUGAACUAAUGUACUGCAUUGUAAUCUAACAUUAGCACUGGCAUUGCUAUAGUAUUAGUAGUAGCAUACAUUUUCAUUAAUCAUAUAAUCUGCUAUGAUUUGAAACAGUACGAAUUAAGUUCAGUAAAGUGCAAUUAAGAGUUACAUUACAGUAUUUAACACGCACGUAUAAUCCCUUUAAGAUGGUUAAUAAUCGUAGCCUGCAGAUACUUGCAAAAUGAUAUAGUUAAUCUACAUUGAAAUACAAAGUAUAUACUAUAGGCAUUUACCUAGAGCAUUUUAUUUUCAAGGGAAAUAAUUGUGGUCUGACUGUAUUAUUUUGAAAAUCGCAGUUGAGAUUUUUUUAUGUGUGCACCGGUACAGUUUUGCGGGGAAGUGAAAGUUGCCAUGGAAUUUUGUCUUCUUCUUAAAACAAGUGUCUGAUACAUGUAGUUGCAGUCUGUCUUUGGAAGCUGUAGAAAUAACAAGAAUUAGGCUGACAUAGUGUUUUGGUAGGAAAAAGUUUGAGUAUGUACAUGUACAGUUGUUUGACCUGUCUUACCCUGUGGCAGUCCAAGAAGAUUAUGAAAAAUACAGGAGAACUUGAAGACAAUGGUUAGUGCAGAAGGGACAUAAAAGUUCUGACAAAAGUAACAGAUAUAAAUAAGAAGUGUUACAAGUAUGUUGUCAUGUGAAAUGGAAUUUACCCCAACUGUGCUGCAAGAUGUAUAUUCAAGUGCAAGACAGCCAUGCACCAGCUGUAAACUGAGAUGGACCCAUAUAAUAAAUAUGUUGACUUUUCUAUGUAUUAUCAUCUGUACAGAAUGUGUUCAUGAAAAGACUGUAUACAUAUAUUGUUAAAUCAUUUUUUAUUUCCAUUAUUGCAUGCACGCAAGAAGCAAGCAUUUAACAAUUGCAUUCAUAGAAGUGUUAAAAUGUGAUCAAUCUAAUUUAAAGAAACACAUUUAAUUGAACUUUUUAAGUUUCAUAGUAAUUGUGGUGGAGACUGACCCAGUCAUUCAGCAACUUCUACUGUCUGUGUGUCAUUUCUUGUAUGUUAUAGUUUUCUUAAUAAUACAUUAAAUGUCAAAGUUAUGGUAAGAUGAACUCAUUCAUCACUUGUAGAUUAAUGUUAAAGCAGUUCAACAUUUUACCAUAAGUUAACUAAUAUUUUAUUUAACCAGAGUUGUCACAUAUUUUCAUAUAAAUAUUUGUAUAAUACAGUCUAAUCUAAUCUACAUAUGAUGUUCCACAAUUUUUUACUUAUAUUUUAUGUUGAUAUUUUAUGUUGUUUUCAUGUCUCAACAUAUAAUUACUAACAUCAAAGAAACUUAAGUAUUUUACAAUUUGGUUGGUAUAAAUGGUUGUUUUUGUUUAUAUAUUUUAUUUUUUUCCAUCCAGGAGAAUAAAGAAAUAUACAUUUCAAAAUAUCUUAUCAUUCCAGAUAAGUACACUACAUAAUCAAGAUAAAAGAAAUAAGAACAAAAUAUGUUGGUGGAAUUUUAUUUUCAAAAAUUUGAUAUACAGUCUUUGUAGUAUUUACUUCUUUAGAUAUGUUGGACUGAAAUGGGAAUAACAACAUACUUUAAAUUUUUGUAGUCAUAAGUUAAUAUGGGAAUUAUUAACUUAACUUAAAAAGAUUUUAUCUCACUGUUAUGCCAUCUGAGCUUUAAUAUUUUUCAACAUUGUCAUUGGCAACAAGGCUCAACAUUAUUUGUUGUGUAUACCUUGCAUUCAUGUGUGAUAAAUGCUUUUAUGGUAUUCUUUAAUAUAAUUUAUGCUUUUUAUCUUACCAUGGAUUAAAAAAUAUAAAUUUAUUUGUCUGAAAGUUAAGUUAAAAAUACUGACUGAUUAAAUUGCAAUAUAAGAAAGCUUAUUUGAGAUAAAGGGAGGUAAUUCCAUAAAAAAUAUGUAGAAUGUAGAUGAAAAAUGUAAUGAAGGGAGGUAAAAAAUAUUGUGAAGUUAUUAGUCUUCAUUUCUUUGAUGAGCUAAUUAAUUGUUUUACAUUUUGGUUUAUUAAUUACAAGUAUGACCUAACAUGUGUACCUGUCCUGAAGGAAAAUAAAAUAGGUUGUUUGAUGUCCUUGUACUGUUAAGUUGUUCCUGUAUUUGUUUACAUUCCAUGUCUGAAUGAAAUGAAGAAACAGACUUUAAUGAGGGUAUCCCGGGAAAAUACCUAAGUUUAUUUUUAUAUCAGCAAAUUUGAUGAGAUAGUCAUUCAGGAGUUGUCUAUCCUAUUCCCAAAAAUGCUAUAGGGACUAAAUUCUUUGGAGUAAAUAUCUCUUUUAAAAAAUAACACACAGCAUUUUAAUAUUGUAUAUAUAUUAUCUGAUGCACUUAGCAAUAUAUAUUUGGAGUCAAAAUGUUAAAAAUUCCGGUUUUAAUUUUUUAGUUACAAUGUC